rnacentral:piRNA from 1 species
UGAUCACAUCUUUUAAUGUUU